GUUUUAAUAAUUUAACGAAAAUAUUGGUCUUGUAAACCAAAAAUAAGUAUUAACCUUUUAAAACA
rnacentral:tRNA from 1 species